rnacentral:rRNA from 1 species
CCUACGGGAGGCAGCAGUGGGGAAUUUUGGACAAUGGGCGCAAGCCUGAUCCAGCAAUGCCGCGUGCGGGAAGAAGGCCUUCGGGUUGUAAACCGCUUUUGUACGGAACGAAAAGGCUCUGGCUAAUACCUGGGGCUGAUGACGGUACCGUAAGAAUAAGCACCGGCUAACUACGUGCCAGCAGCCGCGGUAAUACGUAGGGUGCGAGCGUUAAUCGGAAUUACUGGGCGUAAAGCGUGCGCAGGCGGUCUUGUAAGACAGAGGUGAAAUCCCUGGGCUCAACCUAGGAAUGGCCUUUGUGACUGCAAGGCUGGAGUGCGGCAGAGGGGGAUGGAAUUCCGCGUGUAGCGGUGAAAUGCGUAGAGAUGCGGAGGAAUACCGAUGGCGAAGGCAGUCCCCUGGGCCGGCGACUGACGCUCAGGUACGAAAGCGUGGGGAGCAAAACAGGAUUAGAUACCCUGGUAGUCCACGCCCUAAACGAUGUCGACUGGGAGGUUGGGCCCUUGAUGGCGUCGCUUCCGGAGCUAACGCGUUAAGUCGACCGCCCUGGGGAGUACGGCCGCAAGGUUAAAACUCAAAUGAAUUGACGGGGGCCCGCACAAGCGGUGGAGCAUGUGGUUUAAUUCGAUGCAACGCGAAGAA